ACUACUUCCCCAGGACCAUGCCAUGCCUGCCUGGGCCAUGUAGUCUACUCUGAUCUUCUAGAACUGCGAGCCCCAAAUGAGAUGCUUUCUUUUAUACGUUGCCUUGGUCAUGGUAUUUUGUUGCAGCAACAGAAAAGUAACCAAGACACUUGUGAAGCAGCAAACAAACACUGCUUUCUUAGCAACCUCACCCUUGCCUCCACCAGGUGCUGCAGAUCAAACCCAGGUCCUUAUACAAGUUAGACAAACAAUGGACCACUAAGCCAUAUCUCUAGCCUUUCAGCUUUAAUGCCCUGAUUUGAAUUCUUCCUCAUUCAGAGAUCAAAUAAAUAUCACUGAAAUGUUUGAAGCAGGAGUGCGCCAUGGAGGAUGAUUGAUAACAAUAUUCACAGGUUGGAUGUAGACAAGAAAAACAAAAACAAAGCAACAGCAAAUCCAGCCAGGAGAGGAGAAACCAAAUCAGCUUUCAUUCCCACCAAACCUGUCUCAAGGUUACAAGUGGAACAGUCAGGCUCAAACCUAUUCCUUCUACUGGGAGACGGUCUCCUGUACACAUCAGGUGUGACCUACUCACCUCCGAGACCCAGCCCAGAACAGCCUGCUUCUUGACAACUGUCUGAAAUCAAACCGAGGAGACUUUGGACCUGUGUUUAGUUGCCUAGUGAUCGAUGCUGGGUGAGCUCAUUCUCUGAGGGCAUAUAGCAACAGCCACUGGAAAUCACACCUGAGGAGAAUCACUCAUUGCAUUCCUGCUGCAGUUUUUAAUCCUUCCCAGAGAACCCACAUGAUAUUCGUCUGGGUUGCAUAUCACAGGAGUUUCCAUUAUGAGGUGCAUUUGCAUAUUUUAUUUACCUGUAGUUCCUUUCCCCUGCUAAAACAAUGGCAUUCUGA